rnacentral:rRNA from 1 species
UACGGAGGGUGCAAGCGUUAUUCGGAUUCACUGGGCGUAAAGGGCGCGCAGGCGGCCUUCUAAGUCGAACGUGAAAUCCCCGGGCUCAACCCGGGAACUGCGUCCGAUACUGGGAGGCUUGAAUCCGGGAGAGGGAUGUGGAAUUCCAGGUGUAGCGGUGAAAUGCGCAGAUAUCAGGAGGAACACCGGUGGCGAAGGCGGGUUGCUGGGCUGACACUGACGCUGAGGCGCGAAAGCCAGGGGAGCGAACGGG